UCUACAGUCAAUCGGUAGAGCGUCAGACUCUUAAUCUGAAGGCUACGGGUUCGACCCCCGUGUCGGG
rnacentral:tRNA from 1 species